UACAGAGGGGCAAGCGUUGUUCGGAAUUACUGGGCGUAAAGCGUGCGUAGACGGUUAUGUAAGUCGGGUGUGAAAGCCCCGGGCUCAACCUGGGAAUUGCAUUCGAGACUGUGUAGCUAGGGUACGGAAGAGGGAAGCGGAAUUUCAGGUGUAGCGGUGAAAUGCGUAGAUAUCUGAAGGAACACCAGUGGCGAAAGCGGCUUCCUGGUCCAGUACCGACGUCAGGCACGAAAGCGUGGGGAGCAAACAGG
rnacentral:rRNA from 1 species